CAGAGAGCCAAUGACAUUUCAGUUUUACAUUUUCUCCUACUGUCCUGUCAGCAAGUGGGCUGGAGGAGCACAAGGAACUGGGAGAGGACAGAACCAGUACAGCUGAACUAAACUGGCCAAAGGAAUAUUCCAUGCCAUAUGACAUCAUGUGAAAAACAAACAAACAAACAAACAAACAAAUCCCUAAAACUGGAGGGAGUUGGCCAUUGAGGGCAGCUACUACUUGGAGAUUGGCUGGGCGCUAGUCAGUAGGUUAUGAUGUGGAAAAACAGAGGACAUUGAAAGAAAGGAAAGCAAAAUCAUUUAUUUUCCUAUAUGAGAAACAAAACAAAAAAUGUUCAAAUGGAGGUGGUCAUGUGCAUGCAGAUGUGAAAAAAGAAAAAAGAAAAAAGAAAAGAAAAAGAAAAGCACAGCAGUUGGUAAAUGAAACAUGGAGAUGGCUGUGAAACUGGCAAGAUCCUCCCUGACCAGAAGAUGCAAAAACACAGCAGACAAAACCAGAGCAAGGCACCCAUAACAAUAACAGUGUUUACUUCCCUGACAAGAAACCAUAUUUAUGCCUGCAAGCAAUAAAUAUAAGACUUAAAUCUGUUCACAGAACUGUCAAUGCGAAGACAAUGGAGAAGAGAAUAAUUGAGUGAGAAUAAAAUUCUGAAACAUUCAAGUAGUUGAUAAAGUCAUUUCAAGAAUGUUUCUCUACCUGAGAUCGUUUUAGAGCUUUAGGUGUUUGUGUGAGUGUGUGUGUGUACGUAUUGUUGCUGUUAUCUGUCCAUUUGUUUUUAAUUCACAUGAAGCUGAACAGAAUUAGAUUCUCAAAUUGCAGUCUUAAAACUCCAGAAUUUAGCCAUAUUCUGGAGAAAGAAUUAAUGGUGGGACACCUGAUGUCGCUAUGAUCAGUGUUAUAUCUUUCUCACAACAACCUAAUACUAAACAAAGCAUACAAAAGCAAGGGCAUCCAAAUUGAAUAAGUGAAAGAACAGCACAAAUGUAUAUAAACAAAUUGAAAGCAUAAGAUUCCGGAAGAACAAAGCAGAGAACAUGAGACAGCAGAAAAGCUGAUCCUGAAUUUUUUUGUGAAAUAAGCAUAAAUUAAGGAAAAAAAAAAAAAAAAAAAAAAAAGUAAGUUGUGGACAGAAUGCAGGCUAUUAUUAUUAUUAUUAUUAUUAUUAUUGUUAUUAUUACUAUUUUUAUCAUUGGAACAAUGAAGAAACUGUUGUAUAUUCCAAUAGUACAACUACUCAAGAUGGAUGCAGUGACCAUUCAGCAAGGCACUGAACUGAUGAAAUCUGGAUUCCGAACCUAUACACUCCAUGCAUUCUCAUUGUCAUAGCCCCAGUCCCACUCAGGUUUCACCUAUUUUCAUCACGUUUUGUUUCUCCUUUUCCACCCUGAUUUUCUGUAAUCAACAAUAAAAUAAUUU
rnacentral:lncRNA from 1 species